GAUGUGAAACGGAGCGGUUAAGGGCUAAAAUUGAGGCCUUGAACAUCGAGGUGACAAGAUUGGUAGAGGAUUUAGUCAAUAUUGGUCAAGUACAAGUAUCGGCGUUGCCAGUUCCUGAAGUUCCAGAAGAGAGGAGUCACUUUCAGCGCUAGUUGGAAUUGAGAGAUGCCCAGAUCCCGAAAUUGGAAGCUCAAGUCCGUGAACUGGGCGAUUACAAUAAAGACCUUUUAGCUCAGUUGAGGCAGGAGCCGAUGGAAUGAUUGGAGGAAGACAAAGAUUUACAGUUGGAACCGGAAUCUGUGGAACUAAUAACAGAUACUGUGGCAAUUGAUUAAUUAGAUAGGCUAGAGGGAUUGUAAUUUUUGUAGAGUUUUGUUAGAUAAUUUUUAGAUAGGUAUCAAUUGAGUGUUUGCAAAGAUGCUGCACAAGUAGGAGUGGGGCUAUGUAGAAUAAGUAAUUAUUUUGAGAAUGUAGAUACCUAGUGUAUAGUGUAAACAAGGAUAGAUAACUGUUGAAAAGGUGGUUCAGCAUGUAGAAUGGAUGAAUAGUCAAGAAAAGUAGUUAUCAUUUGUAGCAUAGGAGUUGGUAUCUUGGAGUAGUAUAAGGAGGUAGGGAGAGGGGAAGAAAAUGCCAGACUGUGAGAGUUGUAAGCUGAGGGCCAGACUGCGAUAGUAUUGAGCUGGAAAUAAGCUUGGUGCUAUCUCUUCUUCUUAGUUUUCUUGUUUCUUUUGUAUUAGUGUUGAUUCUAGUGAACAGAAUUGAUUUAAUGAAUUAAUAUUUGAUUUACGAAGUUAUUUAUGGAUCACUGUUUAUCAAUUGUUGUGAAAGAUUGAAGACGUAUAGAAGUUUCCAAUCACUGUUUAUUGCAAGGUUGUAAGUUUAGUGGAGAAGAAUUGUAAUCGAAGGAAUUUUCUUGAUUAGAUUCUGUAGAUUGAAAGUUAUUCGUUCUAGGGUUUGAAAUAUGCUUGUGUGUUUGUGAAUUAUACAGAGUACUGAAAUCGUUGUCGUGGAUGUUAUUGUAUUGAUAUGAGAGAGUGGACAAUAAGAGAAAAAGUUAAGUGUUCUUCGAUAUGGUAAGCAUUCAGCAAUAGCAGUUAAUUGCGUGAUCCUAAUAAUUGGAGCUCAUAUACAUGGUCAUUCCCCGUGUUCGAAUCUCCCUAUAUGGAUUUAUUUUGGGAGGUUUCUUUUGGAAUAAGUAAAACGAGAAAUCACAAUGAUUAAGAAUGAAAACAUUGCAGUAAAGAAAACACACCAAUCGAAAGAAAGACAAGAAAGAGCGCAAGUAAGAAAAUCGUUGCAAAAUGAGCAAGAAUGCAAGUUAAAAAAGAA
rnacentral:lncRNA from 1 species